AGUUGAGAAGCGAGAGUUUGUAUGAGAGUUUUCAUCAACUCUCAUGCAAACUCUCGCUUCUCAACUCU